rnacentral:piRNA from 1 species
UCUUGCUACUUCGCCUGCU